GGCUCAGAUUGAACGCUGGCGGAAUGCUUUACACAUGCAAGUCGAACGGUAGAGGGGGCAACCCCUCGAGAGUGGCGAACGGGUGAGUAAUAUAUCGGAACGUGCCCAGUCGGUGGGGGAUAACGUAGCGAAAGUUACGCUAAUACCGCAUACGAUCUAAGGAUGAAAGCGGGGGGACUCGCAAGAGCCUCGCGCGAUUGGAGCGGCCGAUAUCAGAUUAGGUAGUUGGUGGGGUAAAGGCUCACCAAGCCAACGAUCUGUAGCUGGUCUGAGAGGACGAUCAGCCACACUGGGACUGAGACACGGCCCAGACUCCUACGGGAGGCAGCAGUGGGGAAUUUUGGACAAUGGGGGAAACCCUGAUCCAGCCAUUCCGCGUGUGCGAUGAAGGCCUUCGGGUUGUAAAGCACUUUUGGCAGGAAAGAAAUCGCAUCAAUUAAUACUUGGUGUGGAUGACGGUACCUGCAGAAUAAGCACCGGCUAACUACGUG
rnacentral:rRNA from 1 species